CAGUCGCCGCGGUAAUACGAAGGGUGCAAGCGUUAAUCGGAAUUACUGGGCGUAAAGCGUGCGUAGGUGGUGGUUUAAGUCCGUUGUGAAAGCCCUGGGCUCAACAUGGGAAUUGCAGUGGAUACUGGGUCACUAGAGUGUGGUAGAGGAUGGUGGAAUUCCCGGUGUAGCGGUGAAAUGCGUAGAGAUCGGGAGGAACAUCAGUGGCGAAGGCGGCCAUCUGGGACAACACUGACGCUGAGGCACGAAAGCGUGGGGAGCAAACAGGAUUAGAGACCCGAGUAGUCCCUGUCUCUUAUAC
rnacentral:rRNA from 1 species